CACGACGGUGAGGGUUAGUGUUUGCUUGCUCUCGCCGCCGCCGCCGGCGGCCGCCGCUGGGACUCCGUUCCCCACAAUGCGGCCACCGACGUGGAGCCCGCCUGACGGCGGCGAUGGGCGCGGCGUCAGCGUACGCGGAAGUGUGCUCGCGGCAUCUCAUCGUGUCGACUCUAGCGCGCACCUCUCCCCAUGUUCUGGUAUUAAAAUGCAGAAUCAGAUGGUGAUAUAUGAUAAGGAGAGAUUAUGCACUGGAAGUGCCCCUUUCCAUUGCUGGUGUUAAAGUGCAGGAUCAGAUGGUGAUAUAUGAUAGAGAGAGAUUUUAUACCUGAAGUGACCAUCAGACAUAUCCAAGAUGUUAGUAUGUUACUACUAUGAGCAUAAUGGAGAACUUCUGCCCAAAAGACUGAAGUUUUAGGACUGUUGCCUACAGGUUAUUUGCUGUAUACACGCAGAAUUUCAUCGUCUUCUGACGAACCAAAGUUGCUUCUUUCCAUUGCUUGUAAGUUGUUACCUCUCAAAGAUGUCAUUUUUUUUUUCAAUUCAUGCUUUGGUUUCAACAUACAUUCAUAGGUUGAUUCUG
rnacentral:sRNA from 1 species